CCUACGGGAGGCAGCAGUGGGGAAUAUUGCACAAUGGGGGAAACCCUGAUGCAGCGACGCCGCGUGAGUGAAGAAGGAAUUCGGUAUGUAAAGCUCUAGCAGCAGGGAAGAAAAGGACGGUACCUGAGUAAGAAGCCCCGGCUAACUACGUGCCAGCAGCCGCGGUAAUACGUAGGGGGCAAGCGUUAUCCGGAGUUGCUGGGUGUAAAGGGAGCGUAGACGGCAGUGCAAGUCUGGAGGGAAAGGCGGGGGCUCAACCCCCGGACUGCUCUGGAAACGGUACGGCUGGAGUGCAGGAGAGGUCAGUGGAAUUCCUAGUGUAGCGGUGACAUGCGUAGAUAUUAGGAGGAACCCCAGUGGCGACGGCGGCUUACUGGACUGUACCUGCCGUUGAGGCUCGAAAGCGUG
rnacentral:rRNA from 1 species